rnacentral:tRNA from 1 species
UGGGGUGUAGCUUAGACGUAGAGCAUUUGCCUAGCAUGCAAAGGGCCUGGCUUCAAUCUCCAGCUCUCCAA